GCAUGGUAUCUACUAGAUUCUGAAAGCAAUGAAAUAAUAAGGCCUGAAAUAAAACUGUUUGAAUGCAUACUCAUUAAACUGCUAAGUGAAGGAAUCAGAUUAUUAAAAGAGAGACAGGAUUUCGAUAAAUUGCUUAGGAGUUUUGUAACUGGCAGAGUUAGUGAUUUUAUUCCUAACACUGAGUGAAGUGAGUCAAAAUUAUUAUUAGAAGCUCC
rnacentral:lncRNA from 1 species